GCACUGCAUUUCAAACUGGAUAUCUAGAGUGCGGGAGAGGAGAAUGGAAUUCCUAGUGUAGCGGUGAAAUGCGUAGAGAUUAGGAAGAACACCAGUGGCGAAGGCGAUUCUCUGGACCGUAACUGACGCUGAGGCACGAAAGCGUGGGUAGCAAACAGGAUUAGAUACCCUGGUAGUCCACGCCGUAAACGAUGAGUACUAGGUGUAGGAGGUAUCGACCCCUUCUGUGCCGCAGUAAACACAAUAAGUACUCCGCCUGGGAAGUACGAUCGCAAGAUUAAAACUCAAAGGAAUUGACGGGGGCCCGCACAAGCAGCGGAGCAUGUGGUUUAAUUCGAAGCAACGCGAAGAACCUUACCUGGACUUGACAUACCCUGAAUAUCUUAGAGAUAAGAGAAGCCCUUCGGGGCAGGGAUACAGGUGGUGCAUGGUUGUCGUCAGCUCGUGUCGUGAGAUGUUAGGUUAAGUCCUGCAACGAGCGCAACCCCUGUUGUUAGUUGCUAACAUUUAGUUGAGCACUCUAGCAAGACUGCCGCGGUUAACGCGGAGGAAGGUGGGGAUGACGUCAAAUCAUCAUGCCCCUUAUGUCCAGGGCAACACACGUGCUACAAUGGGCAGUACAGAGAGAAGCAAGACCGCAAGGUGGAGCAAACCUCAAAAACUGCCCCCAGUUCGGAUUGCAGGCUGAAACUCGCCUACAUGAAGUUGGAGUUGCUAGUAAUCGCGAAUCAGAAUGUCGCGGUGAAUACGUUCCCGGGCCUUGUACACACCGCCCGUCACACCAUGAGAGCUGGCAACACCCGAAGUCCGUAGUCUAACUUAGGAGGACGCGGCCGAAGGUGGGGUUAGUAAUUGGGGUGA
rnacentral:rRNA from 1 species